GGGGAAUUGUGAUGCCUUUGGGGAGGAAUGUAGCUGUUUGCACUUUAUUUUAUUCUUGUAAUUGGAGUGCUGUGUCCCUGGAGCUGGGGAGAGAUUAUUCUUUUUCUUGCCUCUGAACUUUCAGUCUGCAGGGAUGAAGCUCUCACUGUCAUGGCAUAUGAAUACAAAAGAAAAGGCUAAACUUAAUGAAUGGCACCAGUGUUUACAGCCACAGGGUUUCCACAGCACUGAGAGGGACAAGUUGGACAUGAGGAAGAAUUUCUACUCAGAAGAAGAGAAGCUGGCAGUCCGUGGCUUGGACAGGAACACUCUUGGCUGGAUUUCAUAUUUCAUUAGGCUUCUCCGCAUUUCAGUUCCAUCAUUGUUCCCAGAGUUCAAGGGAAAAAAGCCAAAGAAGACUGAGAAACAUAAAAGGAAAAUAUGAACAAAAUAACCAUCUAAAGCCAAGUGUUGGUGGGAGGUGCUAUGCAUAAUAGGGCAAUCCCAUGCUCCUGCAAUAAAACAAUCACAUGAUAGAGGAUAAAGAAGAGUCACAAAUAAUGGUGGGAAAGUCUUCUGUAAAGAACUUCAAGAACAAAUGUAAUUACCGAAGACAUUAUUAAGUGUGGGGAAAAGCUCUUUGACCAGCCUUUCAUAUGAUUUAGAAUGUUUACCAAUAGUGCAUACAUAAUUCACCCAGCCAAUUAAAAGCAAAGGCUAUAAAAAUAUUAGCAGAGGGAGGGAGAAGACUGUGUGUUGUGCCUCAAAGAGCAUUUUGGUAGUGCUGAGCAAUCUUCUUAAUUUACUCAAGCAUGAUUCAUAUUUGUGCCCAGAGCUAUGUUUAAAACAGCCGUGCCAACCUGCACUGCUUCAGUCACUAGCAUAUUUUUUCCAAGUCUUAAAUCAACCUGCCAAGAGUAAAAUGACCCAGACUGUUGUGUUCUCCCUGAUCCCAGCAUCAUAGCCCAUGAGAAGACCUCACAAAAUGCAGGUCAGUGUUCUCUUUCAUAAUUUCUGCAUGACAUCUCUCAUAGAAAGAGUGGUGGCUUUUUUUGGAUGAUGGAGACAAGCCAUCCUCAACUCUUCUGGUUGUCAUCAGAAGCUAGAGCAAGGUUUUAGCUAUCAGACCACUGAGAGCCCAUUGUCUUGGCAAACAGAUAGCAGACACAUUUACAUGGUGACUCCAGCAUGCCAUCAAAAUCAACGAAAAGCAAAAACACAAAGGAAUUUUCUACUCCCUGAAUGUUAAACUCAUAACCAACAUAUAUGAAAAUUAUGUGUUGGUGCUGAGGGAGUACAUUAAAAACACAGAGGAUAACUUUCUGACUAAUCUUCAGACUACAAAGUCUCCUCCAACCUUCUACAGAGACAGUGCCACAUCUGUUCAAUAGGAAAUCUGCCUCAAAACAUCAAAGGACUACUUAUGAGGGACCUAGGACUGGUUUGCAUAUCCCCAAAGUGUUCCAUCAUGUUAAGACCUGUGUUGAUAUGAUAAGGGAAAUGUUAGUUUUUACUAGCUAGAAAUUGUACUUUUAUUUAUAUCAUAGUGUCACAGUGAUAUAUGAAUAUCUUUGCAAGUCUAAAUAUAUAUAUAUAGGAGGAUUUUUAUUUUUACUUUUAACUGUGACAGUCUAAAAGACUCACUGUCAUAAUCAGAAAGAACUUAGCAAUAAGGAAAUGAAGUCACAAGCCAAAUGAAGAUGCAUCUUAGAUAGAAAGAAGAUCUUGCUGAUGAAAUAUAUACUAAUUGGGCACCAAAUUCUGUCCUAGAUCUCAGUGACUAGAAAUCUGGAAGCUUUAUCACAUAUAGUUCUCCAGUUUCCUUCAAAGAUGAUGUCCAUUUCUGAAUUUAAAAUGUAAAUCGUAUUUAAUAUUAGCAUGAAUGAAUUAUUCCACAUAGCCUGGGGCUUAUUUCUGUUCUAAACUUCAAAUCCUUUUACAGUCCUAUUAGAGAGGUGACUAUACAUAAAAUUCAUUGUUUGUGAGCUCCAAAGAGAUGCCUGUUAGUUCAUAAAACAAAACCAUUUUGAACGCUGUUGCACAUCCUUCAACAGAAGCAGAUUCUCAGAAUGAUGAUCUGUCACUUCAGAAUGAUAAGUGGACCUGGGAACCACUGUGGUUUCUUUAAGAAGGAGCUAAUUUCAGAAGUUGAUGCUUAUUGUUUGCAAAGAGACACAGCUUAUUUGGAAAAAGUCUCUUGUGGUUCCUUGCAGAGACCCUGCACACAAGACUUGAAAAUCCGUACAGCUGCCAGUACUUAUCUGGACAAGUUCAUUAUUUUAUCUUAGUGUGCAAUCACACGAAGUGAGAGAAAAAUACACACAGAAUUUUAGGAGUGCUGAGCCCACAUGAAGUAAAUUUGAUAUUUUGGCAGUAAACUUCCAAUCCUGCAGCUGUGCCAAGUCAAGAAAAAUGCUAGGAAAAAAAACAAAAAAACAAAACCAACAUAUUGCGUAAUUAAGUCCUUUUUCCUUUCCCUUUCCUCCCCUUCCCUUUUUUUUUCCAUGCCUCUCCUAUUUCCUUCCUUCCUUCCUUCCUUCCUUCCUUCCUUCCUUCCUUC
ensembl:lncRNA